rnacentral:rRNA from 1 species
CAGCUAGUUGGCGGGGUAAUGGCCCACCAAGGCUUAGAUCGGUAGCCGGCCUGAGAGGGCGCACGGCCACACUGGAACUGAAACACGGUCCAGACUCCUACGGGAGGCAGCAGUGGGGAAUUUUGCGCAAUGGGGGAAACCCUGACGCAGCAACGCCGCGUGGAGGAUGAAGUCCCUUGGGACGUAAACUCCUUUCGACCCGGACGAUAAUGACGGUACGGGUGGAAGAAGCCCCGGCUAACUUCGUGCCAGCAGCCGCGGUAAUACGAGGGGGGCAAGCGUUGUUCGGAAUUAUUGGGCGUAAAGGGCGCGUAGGCGGUGCGGUAAGUCACCUGUGAAACCU